CCUACGGGAGGCAGCAGUGGGGGAUAUUGCACAAUGGGGGAAACCCUGAUGCAGCGACGCCGCGUGGGUGAAGAAGCGCCUCGGCGCGUAAAGCCCUGUCAGCAGGGAAGAAAAUGACGGUACCUGAAGAAGAAGCCCCGGCUAACUACGUGCCAGCAGCCGCGGUAAUACGUAGGGGGCAAGCGUGAUCCGGAUUUACCGGGGGUAAAGGGGGCGCAGACGGCGAAGCAAGCCAGGAGUGAAAGCCCGGGGCCCAACCCCGGGACUGCUCUUGGAACUGCGUGGCUAGAGUGCAGGAGGGGCAGGCGGAAUUCCUGGUGUAGCGGUGAAAUGCGUAGAUAUCAGGCGGAACACCGGUGGCGAAGGCGGCCUGCUGGACUGCAACUGACGUUGAGGCCCGAAAGUGUGGGGAGCAAACAGGAUUAGAUACCCUUGUAGUC
rnacentral:rRNA from 1 species